AUGUUUUUGUGGUUUAUGAAUGUGAUGAUUGGGUUUUCACACUCAAGUGUGAGAUAUGCCUCUCUCAGACCUUGUUCCAGUGUCGGUACAUUACCGGUCUGACA
ensembl:snoRNA